CAAGCGGCGGACGGGUGAGUAAUGUCUGGGGAUCUGCUUAAUGAGGGGGAGUAACUACUGGAAACGGUAGCUAAUACCGCAUAAUGUCAUUAAGACCAAAUGGGGGGAACUUCGGUCUUCAUACCAUUAAAUGAACCCCAGAUGGGAUUAGCUAGUAGGUGAGGUAAUGGCUCACCUAGGCGACGAUCCCCUAGCUGGUCUGAGAGGAUGAUCAGCCACACUGGAACUGAGACACGGUCCAG
rnacentral:rRNA from 1 species